GGAAAAAUACCUAGAAGCAAUUAAAAUAUUUUCAGGUCCUUUAAAAGGCAUAGACCUGGCUGUGCGACCACACACCGCCCCGGAAUACAAGGAUGAGACCAUGACUGUUCACCAGGUCCCCAUACACAGUGAGCAGAGAUGUGCAGAAGACCCUAUAUCACAGAGUCCAGAAAGACGUCUCAGCAGGGACAGCCCCAAUCGAUCUCCAGACUCUGCAGCAACCAAACACGAACAGCACCUUCCAGAUGGC